UGUGCUGUCGGAAGAUGAAACCUGAGAGUGAUCCAUCGGCCGAGUGCCUGGCACAAUGGUGACACUCAGCCAGCUGACACAGCACG
rnacentral:snoRNA from 1 species